GCUUGCUUCGGCAAAACAUAUACUAAAAAAUUGGAACGAUACAGAGAUUAGCAUGGCCCCUGCGCAAGGAUGACAUGCAAAUUCGUGAAGCAUUCCAUAUUGGG